rnacentral:piRNA from 1 species
UUGGCUUUUGGGUGUUUAUUAGUGAAGUA